rnacentral:rRNA from 2 species
AGAUUUUAGUUAUCUACUUGGAUAACUGUGGUAAUUCUAGAGCUAAUACAUGCAAACAAGCUCGGACCUUACGGAAAGAGCGCAUUUAUUAGAUCAAAACCAAUCGGGCUUCGGUCCGUGUUUUGGUGACUCUGAAUAACUAAGUUGAUCGCACAGUUUUAUACUGGCGACGUAUCUUUCAAAUGUCUGCCUUAUCAACUUUCGAUGGUAGGUUAUACGCCUACCAUGGUUAUAACGGGUAACGGAGAAUAAGGGUUCGACUCCGGAGAGGGAGCCUGAGAAAUGGCUACCACAUCCAAGGAAGGCAGCAGGCGCGCAAAUUACCCAAUCCCAGUACGGGGAGGUAGUGACGAAAAAUAACGAGAUAGUCCACUUUGUGGCCUGUCAUCGGAAUGGGUACAAUUUAAAUCUUUUAACGAGGAUCCAUUAGAGGGCAAGUCUGGUGCCAGCAGCCGCGGUAAUUCCAGCUCUAAUAGCGUAUAUUAAAGUUGUUGUGGUUAAAACGCCCGUAGUUGAUUUUUCGACUAUGGAGGAUGGUAGCUCGAAAGGGUUUAACUGUCUCUUCGAGUCUGAAUUUGAGUUUUCUGCCGGUGUUCUUAAUUGAGCGUCGGUAGUGACUUGAACGUUUACUUUGAAAAAAUUAGAGUGCUUAAAGCAAGCUUUACGCUUGAAUAAAGUGCAUGGGAUAAUGGAAUAGGACUUUAGUCUCAUUUUGUUGGUUUUCAAGAUUAAAGUAAUGAUUAAGAGGAACAGACGGGGGCAUUCGUAUUGUUGCGUUAGAGGUGAAAUUCUUGGAUCGCAGCAAGACGAACAACUGCGAAAGCAUUUGCCAAGAAUGUUUUCAUUAAUCAAGGACGAAAGUUAGAGGUUCGAAGGCGAUCAGAUACCGCCCUAGUUCUAACCGUAAACGAUGCCAACUGGCCAUUCGCCGGUGUUAAUUUAUGACUCGGCGGGCAGCCUCCGGGAAACCAAAGUUUUCUGGUUCCGGGGGAAGUAUGGUUGCAAAGCUUAAACUUAAAGGAAUUGACGGAAGGGCACCACCAGGAGUGGAGCCUGCGGCUUAAUUUGACUCAACACGGG